rnacentral:lncRNA from 1 species
UCGAUUUCACUUCUUGACUUCUAAUUAUCCAUACUAACCAACUAGAAACAUAAGUACUUACCUAUUUCAGAUAACCAAUUACCAUCUCCAUGCAUUUUAAUUUCCGUGUUCUAGAAUCAAAUUCUCAGUUGAUUAUUUUAACAAAUAAAGGGAGGACAUGCCUUAAGAAUUCAAGGUUCAAAUUUUCAUUAUCAUCAUCAAAUUCAGAUUUUACAGAGAAAAUCAUCCCCAACCGGUUGAAUUGACAUACAAAAUCAAUACAAAGAUUUUGCAAUUUACCAAUCAUCCUAACAUAACACACACACACACACACACACACACACACAUAUAUUACCUCUGAUUUAGCUUCCUUUCUUCAAUUUUGAAUAUUCUAGCCUUCCCUCUUCUACUAAUUGCUAUUACACUUCAGCUAGCAGAGAACUAACCUAUCUAUUGAAACUACAGAACUUCUAUAUUAAAGUUAAUAGUAAUAGAUAGGAGAGUUUGAAGAUGAAACAAAGAGACUGGGAUUGAAGUUUUAGAAUAGGCUUUAUAGAAAUCCUUUUCUUACUGAUUAGGAUCAACAUUACUCUCCAAGAAGUAUAGCUUAGCUGAUUCCCUAAACCUAUCAAGUCCCUAGCAUGCCAGCUCUUGCUUAUAUGACUCAGACAAAAUUUAUAUCCCCCACCUCAGGCUUUAUUAUACUGUACUGUAAUACAUAUACAUUAAUUAUAUAUUCAUGCUUAUUUUACCCCUUAUGUACAUAUCGCAUACAU